GACGAACGCUGGCGGCGCGCUUAACACAUGCAAGUCGAACGGAAAGGCCUGCUUUCCCUUGUGGAUUGCGGGUACUCGAGUGGCGAACGGGUGAGUAACACGUGAGUGAUCUGCCCCCAACUUGGGUAUAAGCCUGGGAAACUGGGUCUAAUUCCCGAUAGGACUGCAGGGUGGUGCCUGUGGUGGAAAACGAUUUUCUAGUGGUUGGGGAUGAGCUCGCGGCCUAUCAGCUUGUUGGUGGGGUAAUGGCCUACCAAGGCGGCGACGGGUAGCCGGCCUGAGAGGGUGGACGGCCACAUUGGGACUGGGAUACGGCCCAGACUCCUACGGGAGGCAGCGGUGGGGAAUAUUGGACAAUGGGCGGAAGCCUGAUGCAGCGACGCCGCGUGGGGGAUGACGGCCUUCGGGUGGUAAACUCCUUUCGACCGCGAGGAAGCCACCUGGUUGGAAGGGUGGUGACGGUAGUGGUAGAAGAAGCACCGGCUAACUACGUG
rnacentral:rRNA from 1 species